GAGUUUGAUCCUGGCUCAGGACGAACGCUGGCGGCGUGCCUAAUACAUGCAAGUCGAGCGAGCUUGCCUAGAUGAUUUUAGUGCCUGCACUAAAUGAAACUAGAUACAAGCGAGCGGCGGACGGGUGAGUAACACGUGGGUAACCUGCCCAAGAGACUGGGAUAACACCUGGAAACAGAUGCUAAUACCGGAUAACAACACUAGACGCAUGUCUAGAGUUUGAAAGAUGGUUCUGCUAUCACUCUUGGAUGGACCUGCGGUGCAUUAGCUAGUUGGUAAGGUAACGGCUUACCAAGGCAAUGAUGCAUAGCCGAGUUGAGAGACUGAUCGGCCACAUUGGGACUGAGACACGGCCCAAACUCCUACGGGAGGCAGCAGUAGGGAAUCUUCCACAAUGGACGAAAGUCUGAUGGAGCAACGCCGCGUGAGUGAAGAAGGGUUUCGGCUCGUAAAGCUCUGUUGGUAGUGAAGAAAGAUAGAGGUAGUAACCGGCCUUUAUUUGACGGUAAUUACUUAGAAAGUCACGGCUAACUACGUGCCAGCAGCCGCGGUAAUACGUAGGUGGCAAGCGUUGUCCGGAUUUAUUGGGCGUGAAGCGAGUGCAGGCGGUUCAAUAAGUCUGAUGUGAAAGCCUUCGGCUCAACCGGAGAAUUGCAUCAGAAACUGUUGAAUUUGAGUGCAGAAGAGGAGAGUGGAACUCCAUGUGUAGCGGUGAAAUGCGUAGA
rnacentral:rRNA from 1 species